rnacentral:lncRNA from 1 species
UUUCUUUAAUUUUUCCCAUUGGGUUUUGGUUUUAAGGUUUAACGAGGCACAUUGUUGAAUAGACGUUCAAGGGGGAGUGUUAUGAAAUCUCCUAUUCAAGGGGGAGUAUUAAUCAUGGCAAUAUUUUUAAAUAGAAAAUUGAUGAAAUGAUCGAUCUUGUUAUCAUUGACUUAUCUUUAACUGAAUAGAAAAUUAAGUAUUUUUCUGGCCAUCAAGAUUUAGGUCGAUGAAAUGAAUCACCUUAUAUCUCCUCUAUUGGAAUUCAAACAUUAAUUCCAAAUAUUGUUACUCUCUCCGAGCUAGAAAUCCUCGUUUAAUUCUAGUCAUUAAAUAAACAAAACUUUAACGAAUAAUUAAUUGAUUUUCAAUCUUUUCGACCACUAGACCACCUCAUUAGGGUCGUAACGCUAAAAUUAUAAACCUUAAUAAAUGCAAACCAGAAUUUAUAAUGUAUUUCUUAGUUCAACUAGUGUUGCCUAAAAUUAAUUAAAAAAC